CACUACAAGAGCUGGGGACUUUUCUCUCUUCGGUUAGAGUCUGCUAGUGGUUAGUAUACGGACGCCUAGCUAGUAUUCCUCUGCAGCUCAACCGGGGUAUCGGCUCUCCGCCCGCUUGUCAACGGAAAAUUUUCGAUGGCGGCUCACUCCAUCCGAAGAAGGGCGGCAGGCUCCACGCCAGCGAGUAGGCCCACGCGGCCGCCAGGACGGCCAGCGCCCGCUUCCGGGACAGCACGCCGAUGGAGAUCCACCUCUUGUGCAUGCUGCUAGUGAAGAACACUGGCGCUUGAGUGACGCACAUCAGCAGGUCCGUCACAGCCAAGUUGAUGAUGAACAUGUUGGCCGGAGUGCGCAGGCUGCGGCUCCUGAAUGUGUGAAAUUGUUUAAAAUUAGCAAGAUGUGGAGAAAAUAAUAAGCAUUGAAGUUUAAAAAAAAAUAAAGAAACGACCAGAAACUACAACAUAAAGAAAUGAAAAAACUCAUUUGACAAUGUUAAACAUUUAAUCAUGAGUUUGUCACAGGUGGAUUGGAUCCAUUUAACCUGGCAGGGUUGGCAGCAAAUGCACAUCAGUCUAACUUCAAAAGUGGUGGAAUGUCACAAGUAAAAGUACUUUGUUACUGUACUAAAGUACAUUUUUGUGUAUCUGUACUUUAUUUCAGUACAAAAAAGAAGGGGUACUUUUUACUGUUACUUCACAACAUUUUAUAGCAUGUAUCUGUAUUUUUUACUCCACUAGUUUUUAAACUGUCGCCUGCGAUACACGUGACUUUGUUUCCUUUUUUUUUUUUUUUCAUUGUGAAUCGAUAAGCUCUGUGCAACUAUACCGCAAUUGAGCACUAGAAGCAGCAACACUAGUACAAGCAAGAUUAGGCAGGUGAACAAGAUAUUGACCAAUAAAAAACAGUGGUAUGCGCCUGAAAGUUGCUUCCAAUCUGCCAUUAAGCUAAGCUAAGAUUUGUUUUUGAGCUUGUCAAGCAUCUGUUCAAAGUGCAAUCAUUUUUUGUUUUUUUUCCCCAUUCUGCUCAUUUUGAAUGAAUGAAUUUAUUCUCAUUGUCAUCAUCACCAGUAUCAUUGACAGUUACAGAGUGUGGGAUAGUUUGGCCAGAAAGGAGAAACACUGACACAGAAUAUGGAAUAAUUUGCCCGAAAAAAGACGAUGACAGACAAAGGAAAACGGGAAAAAAGCAAAUGCUUAUCGAUACCCGUCCCCCAACAGCCUGGGACGCACAGUCUAGCAUGUUUGAGUUGCAUAGUCAAUUUUUUUACUCGUAUAGCUUUCAAAAAGUCAUUGAUUGCCAUGGCAUUUCGCAAUAUUGUCAAUUUGAGUAGGUUCAUUGGAUAGGUUGACUUCCAAGUUGGUGUAAGGAGGGAUGAAGCAAUGUUAUGUCUUAGUCUCUGUCCCUGACAUUUAAUCAUCCUUUGUUUGCCUUUUUGUUGUGGGAACAAUUUGUAGCGGAUGUGUGUGUGCAGUGCAGCUAUGACUCAUUUUGGUCCAUGUAGCGAUUUAGUAUAGUUUCUUUGUACAUCUUUUUGAAGUAACUCAAUGAUUUUAUACUCGUAAGCGCUGCAUCACAUGUAUUCCAUAGGCGAGCCCCAAUGUUCGUAAUCAAGAAAGAUUUUAAUGUUGUCCUAGUUGCCCGAAAACAAUCUGAUUCCUCUUAGGUCGUAGCUUGAUUCCCUUAGUUGGAAUAGAGCUUGUAGGUUAGGCGGGAGACUGUUUGCGUGGGCCUUGUACAUCAUUUGAGCAGUUUUGAAGUUAACCAAGUCAUAAAAUUUUAAUAGCUUGGACUUGAGGUAAAGUUCGUUUGUGUGCGCUCUGAACGGUGCUUUAUGAAUAAUCCUAACUGCCUUUUUUUGAAGGAUAA